UUUCUCUACAUGAAAAAAAAAAGUGUCAUCUUCAGAGAUCCCGGUUAGAAUUUUUAAUUUUCCUUGUGCUGGUUGAAGAAGAAUCUCAAACCUUGGUGCUGUUUUUUGUUUAUUUCAAGAAGAAUUUCAGCUGGUGCUUGACAACUUAUGCCUCCUAUAAAACCAAGAAAUAUUUUUUUACACGGUGUAUAUUCAAGAUAUCUUCCAACUGACAGACAUUCCACCGAACAAAGAAGUUGGGCCAUUUUUCACUAUACAUUUUUGGUUAAAUAUGUGAGAGCUAUUGUUUUGAAAGUCAACCAUAGUAAUAAUAGCCAAUUCAAAAAACAUCCUACUAAAGACUCAACUUGAUUAAUAAUGAACAACCCCAUUCAUGAGGCCAAAGAGCGUGUUUUUCAGCCUCCACUUUGUGGAUCUGGACAAGAACUGCAACAAGGAAAAACAGUGUUGCUCAGUAAUGUUUUAAGCCCAGUUGAUCAACAAAAUUCAAGGAGACAUGCAAAUUGAACUGAAGAGUUGAAGCAGUUAUUCAGAUAAUUCAAAGGAAAAAAAAAAUUUCCUCACUGAAGAAAGAAGAUUGGAGAAGCCUGAACUACGUGCGUUGUUUAUCCUCACUGAUCAAGUCACCAGAGCGAAUACAUUCAAUUAGAUGAUCUCCAAGAACCUUUCCGACUUGAAAGGCCAGUGUUUCUAUUACCAGGCAUGUAGGGAUAACCAACAUGUAUUUAUCAGGAACUUAGUUUUCUAAAAUGGAAAGGAAGUUUGGGGGAAGAGUUUGGCACCCUUGAUGGUUCCAGCAAGUGAAGAAUCAACCCAUUUGCAGCUGGUGUUGAAACUAACUAGAAGGAAAAAUAAGAAGUUUUAUCUCCUGAAGAAUUGGGGAGAUUCUUUUAAAGGUGAAACUUUUCAUCUUUAGGUAUUCGGGACCCACAGGCAGUUUCUUCCAUUGUGUCCAACUGUAAAUCAAGACGACUUGCUUUGAGCUCCAAGAAGGAAGUUAUGUAUUAUACCUUUAGGAUAUGCACAUAUUCUUUUCCUUUUCCCUGUGGUAUUCAGAAAGUGGAAUGUUGCACCCUAAAUAGACUUGGUUUGUACAUGUUUCUGAUGAUUUCUUUAUUUGUAGUGAAUCUAGAUUACUGUUUUCACAUCUGUUUUUAGCAACUCAGUUUCAGUAGUUCUUUGUAUUGUUAGCUAGCUAGCUAUUUUUGCAACUGACUUAAUCAAAGCAAACAUUUUUUUAAUGUAACCCUACUUUCUUGUUCAGUUUUCCAGUUCAUUAAAAUUUUCUCAAUUUGAUGAAUCUUCCAUGUAUGUAUCCUUGAAACUUUGAAAGAGAAAAAGGUAGGUGGUGUGUGACUUCCAGGUGCUUGAUUUAGAGGUGCUUCAAAUGAAAGCACUUUAAUCAUGUCAAUAAUUGCAAAUGAACCAUAUUUUAAGAUAAUAAGAAUUAAAAAUUUGGGAAUAUUAGAUGGUAUACAGGAACUACUAUUAAAUUUUCAGAUGGGGUAUAGGUAUUAUAGUUAAAAAAGAGCAGGUAUAAUUUUAGGUACAAGCUGAAAUAUAUCUAUAAUAAUAAAAGGGUAAUAUGCUAAUUAGACCGGAUGUCCUUCCGGACAUCAU